rnacentral:pre_miRNA from 10 species
GGUUGUGAGGGUUCCUGGCGUGCUGAUUUGUGAUUUAUGAUAAAAUCACAUUGCCAGGGAUUACCACACAACC